rnacentral:rRNA from 1 species
UGCCAGCCGCCGCGGUAAUACGGAGGGUGCAAGCGUUAUCCGGAAUCACUGGGUUUAAAGGGUACGUAGGCGGUUUACUAAGUCAGACGUCAAAGGCCGUAGCUAAACUAUGGUACGCGUUUGAAACUGGUAAACUUGAAUAUGUUUGAAGUGUGUAGAAUGGGUCAUGUAGCGGUGAAAUGCAUAGAUAUGACAUAGAACACCGAUAGCGAAGGCAGCUCACUAAGUCAUCAUUGACGCUGAGGGACGAAAGCGUGGGGAGCGAACAGGAUUAGAUA